GAGUUUGAUCCUGGCUCAGGACGAACGCUGGCGGCGUGCUUAACACAUGCAAGUCGAACGGAAAGGCCCCGCUCGCGGGGUACUCGAGUGGCGAACGGGUGAGUAACACGUGGGUGAUCUGCCCUGCACUUCGGGAUAAGCCUGGGAAACUGGGUCUAAUACCGGAUAUGACCUCCCUUUAGUGUGGGGGGUGGAAAGAUUUAUCGGUGCAGGAUGAGCCCGCGGCCUAUCAGCUUGUUGGUGGGGUAAUGGCCUACCAAGGCGUCGACGGGUAGCCGGCCUGAGAGGGUGGACGGCCACAUUGGGACUGAGAUACGGCCCAGACUCCUACGGGAGGCAGCAGUGGGGAAUAUUGCACAAUGGGCGGAAGCCUGAUACAGCGACGCCGCGUGGGGGAUGACGGCCUUCGGGUUGUAAACCUCUUUCGACAGGGACGAAGUGAAAAUGACGGUACCUGUAUAAGAAGCACCGGCUAACUACGUGCCAGCAGCCGCGGUAAUACGUAGGGUGCGAGCGUUGUCCGGAAUUACUGGGCGUAAAGAGCUCGUAGGUGGUUUGUCACGUCGUCUGUGAAAUUCCGGGGCUUAACCUCGGGCGUGCAGGCGAUACGGGCAAUACUUGAGUGCUGUANGGGAGACUGGAUUCCUGNUGUAGCGGUGAAAUGCGCAGAUAUCAGGAGGAACACCAAUGGCGAAGGCAGGUCUCUGGGCAGUUACUGACGCUGAGGAGCGAAAGCAUGGGUAGCGAACAGGAUUAGAUACCCUGGUAGUCCAUGCCGUAAACGGUGGGCGCUAGGUGUAGGGGACUUCCACGUUCUCUGUGCCGUAGCUAACGCAUUAAGCGCCCCGCCUGGGGAGUACGGCCGCAAGGCUAAAACUCAAAGGAAUUGACGGGGGCCCGCACAAGCGGCGGAGCAUGUGGAUUAAUUCGAUGCAACGCGAAGAACCUUACCUGGGCUUGACAUACACCGGACCGGCGUAGAGAUACGUCUUCCCUUGUGGCCGGUGUACAGGUGGUGCAUGGUUGUCGUCAGCUCGUGUCGUGAGAUGUUGGGUUAAGUCCCGCAACGAGCGCAACCCUUGUCUUAUGUUGCCAGCACGUGAUGGUGGGGACUCAUGAGAGACUGCCGGGGUCAACUCGGAGGAAGGUGGGGAUGACGUCAAAUCAUCAUGCCCCUUAUGUCCAGGGCUUCACACAUGCUACAAUGGUCGGUACAGCAGGUCGCGAACUCGUGAGAGUAAGCCAAUCCUUCAAAGCCGGCCUCAGUUCGGAUUGGGGUCUGCAACUCGACCCCAUGAAGUCGGAGUCGCUAGUAAUCGCAGAUCAGCAACGCUGCGGUGAAUACGUUCACCGGGCCUUGUACACACCGCCCGUC
rnacentral:rRNA from 1 species